rnacentral:rRNA from 1 species
CCUACGGGUGGCUGCAGUGAGGAAUAUUGGUCAAUGGACGAGAGUCUGAACCAGCCAAGUAGCGUGAAGGAUGACUGCCCUAUGGGUUGUAAACUUCUUUUAUAUGGGAAUAAAAUGUUCCACGUGUGGGAUUUUGUAUGUACCCUGUGAAAAAGGAUCGGCUAACUCCGGUCCAGCCACCGCGGGAAUACGGAGGAUCCGAGCGUUUUCCGGAUUUAUUGGGGUUAAAGGGAUCGUAGGUGGAGUGUUAAGGCAGUUGUGAAAGUUUGCGGCUCAACCGUAAAAUUGCAGUUGAAACUGGCAGUCUUGAGUACAGUAGAGGUGGGCGGAAUUCGUGGUGUAGCGGUGAAAUGCUUAGAUAUCACGAAGAACUCCGAUUGCGAAGGCAGCUCACUGGACUGCAACUGACACUGAGGCUCGAAAGUGUGGGUAUCAAACAGGAUUAGAUACCCCAGUAGUC